GUUCCCAGGCUAGGGGUCAAAUUAGAGCUACAGCUGCCGGCCUCCACCACAGCCACAGCAAUGCGGGAUCCAAGCUGCAACUGUGGCCUACACCACAGCUCACAGCAAUGCCAGAUCCUUAAUCCACUGAGCGAGGCCAGGGAUCGAACCUGCAACCUUAUGGUUCCUUGUCAGAUUCAUUUCCGCUGUGCCACGAUGGAAACUCCUCCCUUUUUAGGAUGUUUCAGAAUUUCCCCAAAUUUCUACAAAGUGUAUCUGUAACUUGAAUAAUCAGAAAAAAAAUUUUUUUCGGAACAAAUAACCAUUGAAAAUAGAUAGUAAACCUUUCUUGCUCUGAACCCAAAGGACUCAGCUAUUAUGCUAUUAGCAUCUUUUUCCUCCCACACAAGGUUCACUCUAUGUAAAGGUAAAAAAAAAAAAAUCACCAUAAGACAUACCAAAGGUGACCAUAUAGAUGGAAACUGGAGCACUUCUGAACUUUCGUGGUAAAAAACGUAGUGGUUAAAGACAGUCGCCUUAGACCUGGAAGCACAGGUUUCUUUCCAGACACGGCCUUGGCUGUUUGUCCUUCUGUGAUUUUCCAGGGCUGGUGCAAUGGAGAUCAAGGCCACAUCAGCCUGGACAGCAGAGCUUUGGCUACAGGCAGUGCUGACAGCUGCCUGCAUCGUGACUUUUGUGGAAACCAGGAAAUUACAAGACACCCUUGAGUGAAGCCCGCUGUGGGAGUGACGGUGUGUCUCUCCAGGUCUAGAAGGAGAAUGAGGGCAUUUGUGUUCCUGUCCAGACAGAAGGAGCUGUGGACUUGGAUGAGUCCACAGUUUGCAAGGGCGCCAAUGAUGCUCAUUUCCCCAAGUCGGGUCUGUGAUUCUCAAACUUUAGUUGAGUGUACCAGCCAUCUCUCAGGGCUUGUUGAAAUGUGCACUGGGAGGUUCCUGUUGUGGCGCAGUGGAAACGAAACUGGCUAGUAUCCAUGAGGAUGCGGGUUUGAUCCCUGGCCUUGCUCAGUAGGUUAAGGAUCCAGCGUUGCCAUGAGCUGUGGUGUAGGUCAAAGAUGUGGCUCGGAUCUGUCUGGCAUUGCUGUGGCUGUGGUGUAGGCCAGUGGCUACCACUCCAAUUCGAUCCCUAGCCUGGGAACUCCCAUAUGCUGCAGUUGCGGCCCUAAAAAGCUUAAAAAAAAAAAAAAAGUGCAUUGCCAGCUCUGUGCCAGGAAGUGCUGGCUCAGGAGUUCAGGGUUGGGCCUUUGAAUCUCAAUAUUACUGUGAGCCUCCCAGAUGAUGCUUUGGGAAUUUCUCUGUUUCAUUCUUGCAACAUAAGGUAUGCUUCUAGAAUCAGAUUCAGAUCCCUCACACAUCGCUGUAGGCCUGGUGUGAAAUAAGCAUGGCACUAGUUAAUUUCCCAUGUUUGCUUCUGUAAGAUCCUCCUAAAGCUUCGGGGGUCAGCCUUCCCACCUCCACUUUACCCAUGGGAAAACUGGAGCUCAGAGUGUUGGAGUGAUUUAUCAGCAGUCACACAGCCAUAAGCGGUAGAGUUAAGAGUUAGAGCCAAGAAAGGGGGAUUGGACAACCCAGAGGCUCUCAUGUCCCCCCUCCCCUGGUCCCCACGGGGAGAAUAUCUCUAAGAUCCCCUAAUUUGUGAGUCUAACGAGCCAAGGUAUUGAUAACUGGGUCACCUUUCUUUACCAUCCUUCCAGCAUCCUGGCCACAGUCCCACAGAGGUAGCCCUCCCCCCCCUUUCAUUUUUUUUUGCUUUUUAGGGCUGCAUCCGUGGCAUAUGGAGGUUCCCAGGGUGUAGCCCUAAAAAGCAAAAACAAAGAACAACAACAAAAAAAAUAAAUAAAUAAAAGAGGAGAUUAGGACACAAGCGCAAUUAGAGGGAAGACCACGUGAGCACACAGGGAGAAGGCAGCCGUCUACAUGCCAAGGAGCGAUGCCUCCGAGGAAACCAACCCUGCUGACACCUUGAUCUGACUUUUGCCUCCAGAACUGUGUGAAAAUAAGUUUCUGUGUUUAACCCACUCAGCUUGUAAUACUUUGUUUCGAUACCCCAAGAGAUUAAUACGGAUGACCUGGUUGUACAAGUUCCACCUGAUUCAAUGUAGGCAGCCCCAGGUGGGCACAGGUGAGCUCCCGAGGCCCACUGGCAACACUGCAUCGGGACAACCUGGAGGUCACAACAAAGAGCUUGCUUGCACUUCUGUCUUUAGCAAGUCUGGGGACAUGUUGGGCUGCACAGGGACAGAUUUUAUCAGUGUCCCUAUGGUUUGUAGGAGGGGCAUGCAGAAAGGUGAGGGGGCCGUCAUCUUACUCCUGUGGCUUAAAACACCUCAUCUUCUUACUGUCUACACACCCAACAAAACACCAUUUCGUGAGCCCACUCCAGGCAAUUGUUGAGGAUUCUGGCUGCGUGGGAAAGAAUGUCAGGAUUGAUCAGCCGUAUCUGCUCUGGGCAAGUGGGGGAGGCAUGACAGAUACGUCCAGUCGAUUUGCGGUCUUCUAGAACACAGGGAGCUCCACCUGCACCAAGGAGAAGACAGUGUCUCCAGAGAGAGCAGGAUGUGACAGAGAUGGCCAUACACUUCCAGCACAUUUGGCUAUCAAUGCCACUGUUGCAUGACAAAUAGAUGUCAUCACACCUGCCACCUCUGGUCAACUUGUCACGGCCACCUGAGCAUAGAAAUCCAUGUCCCUAUUCAUACCUAUGGAAAGAACAUCACAUUGCAAUCCCCAACCUCGGCCACAAGCCUAGAUUGCAGGAGUGGUGGCAGGAUCGCCUGCUUCUCUGACCCAGCUCAAUCUGUCGGGGAAACUCAAGUUCCUUUCUGUCUCGCCACCCCAAGGACAAGGAUGAAAUGCCAUUCUGGAGUCUGUGGGUUUCUAUGGGCCUAGGCACUAGGCCUCAGACCUUUCAGAGGAAGGGUCGGAACACCCCAGGGCCUGGCCUCCCCACCUGGGGUAUGCCAACCACGUAGGGUACAAGAGUGUAGCCCAGAGUAGAAGGGCAA
rnacentral:lncRNA from 1 species